UACGUAGGGGGCAAGCGUUGUCCGGAUUUAUUGGGCGUAAAGAGCUCGUAGGCGGUUUGUCGCGUCUGCCGUGAAAGUCCGGGGCUCAACUCCGGAUCUGCGGUGGGUACGGGCAGACUAGAGUGAUGUAGGGGAGACUGGAAUUCCUGGUGUAGCGGUGAAAUGCGCAGAUAUCAGGAGGAACACCGGUGGCGAAGGCGGGUCUCUGGGCCGAUACUGACGUGAGGAGCGAAAGCAUGGGUAGCGAACAGG
rnacentral:rRNA from 1 species